CCCUCCGAAGUUUCCCUCAGGAUAGCUGGUGCAUUUUAAAAUUAUGCAAAAUAAUCUUAUCUGGUAAAGCGAAUGAUUAGAGGCCUUAGGGUCGAAACGACCUUAACCUAUUCUCAAACUUUAAAUGGGUAAGAACCUAACCUUUCUUGAUAUGAAGGUUCAGGUUAUGAUAUAAUGUGCCCAGUGGGCCACUUUUGGUAAGCAGAACUGGCGCUGUGGGAUGAACCAAACGUAAUGUUACGGUGCCUAAAUUUACAACUCAUGCAGAUACCAUGAAAGGCGUUGGUUGCUUAAAACAGCAGGACGGUGGACAUGGAAGUCGUAAUCCGCUAAGGAGUGUGUAACAACUCACCUGCCGAAGCAACUAGCCCUUAAAAUGGAUGGCGCUUAAGUUGUAUACCUAUACAUUACCGCUAAAGUACAUGAUUUAUAAUACAAUUUCGGUUGUUUUUAUAAAUUUUGAAACUUUAGUGAGUAGGAGGGUACAAUGGUGUGCUUAGAAGUGUUUGGCGUAAGCCUGCAUGGAGCCGCCAUUGGUACAGAUCUUGGUGGUAGUAGCAAAUAAUCGAAUGAGACCUUGGAGGACUGAAGUGGAGAAGGGUUUCGUGUGAACAGUGGUUGAUCACGAGUUAGUCGGUCCUAAGUUCAAGGCGAAAGCCGAAAAUUUUCAAGUUUUAAUAA
rnacentral:rRNA from 1 species